AUUCCCUCUAAAACUUCCUCUUACUCUAUAACUACCACUAUAACCUCCUCGUACCCUUCUCUCUCCUUGUCUAUCACCUUCAUACUGCUCUCUCUGUGGACACUCACUCUUCCAAUGUCCCUCCUUUCUACAAUACGCACAUUAAUUCCUACUUAAAGUCCCUUGCUCAGCCUAUUCUCAUCUCCUCUAUUCACUUCCCUGUCUUUCUACACUUAAGAUAGCUACCGCUAGCAUAUCUUCCUUUUUCCUCAUUUUACGUUCUUCCUCCGUCUCCCUAUUCAUAUAUACUGUAUUUGCAAUCUCCAUUAGCUGUAUUAUGGACAUCCCUACAAAUCCCUCUAAUUUCUGUAAUUUCCUUUUACUAUCACCUUGGGCCUGGCUGACAAAUGCUGAGUCUAUCAUUCGGAAGUUUUCAGGGGCCUCUGGAUUAAAGGGAGUAUACAACCUAUUUGACUCAAGCAGUGUCUAAUAUGGGACUUCGGCAAGGCUGCCCUAUAAUAGGUUCCAGUCUAGGAGUAGUAAGAUAAUUUUAUUAGUCAGCAUUUGGUGGAUGAAAAAAUGUUUUUUUUUUAAAGUGUUAAACCAAAAACCUACCAGUAGGUGUCACCAGAGGGUAAUUGUAUCAAAAUAAUAUUUAUGGG